rnacentral:tRNA from 1 species
GGCGGAGUAGCUCAGCCCGAUAGAGCAGGCGGCUCAUACCCGCUCGGUCGACGGUUUAAAUCCGUCCUCCGCCACUA